AGAAGCAAUAAUGUUAAUAUGAGUAACAAGAAAACCCUUCUCCCUGCAUGCGUGUAUACCAGAACGAAUAACACACUGGUAGUUAACAAAUAUAAAUACAACUAACUAAUUGAAAAUUUAAUGUAAUUGUUAGUCCAACACAGGUAUGCAACUAAGGAAAGAUUAAAAGAAGUAAAAGGAACUCGGC
rnacentral:rRNA from 1 species